AGAUUGAACGCUGGCGGCAUGCCUAACACAUGCAAGUCGAACGGGAGUAGCAAUACUCUAGUGGCGGACGGGUGAGGAAUACGUAGGAAUUUGCCCUUAAGUGGGGGAUAACCCGGGGAAACCCGGAUUAAUACCGCAUGACCUCGAAAGAGCAAAGUGGGGGAUCGCAAGACCUCACGCUUUUGGAGAAGCCUACGUCGGAUUAGUUAGUUGGUGAGGUAAUGGCUCACCAAGGCGACGAUCCGUAACUGGUCUGAGAGGAUGAUCAGUCACACGGAACUGAGACACGGU
rnacentral:rRNA from 1 species